CAGUCGCCGCGGUAAUACAGAGGGUGCGAGCGUUAAUCGGAUUUACUGGGCGUAAAGCGUGCGUAGGCGGCUAAUUGAGUCGGAUGUGAAAUCCCCGAGCUUAACUUGGGAAUUGCAUUCGAUAAUGGUUAGCUAGAGUGUGGGAGAGGAUGGUAGAAUUCCAGGUGUAGCGGUGAAAUGCGUAGAGAUCUGGAGGAAUACCGAUGGCGAAGGCAGCCAUCUGGCCUAACACUGACGCUGAGGUACGAAAGCGUGGGGAGCAAACAGGAUUAGAUACCCGGGUAGUCCCUGUCUCUUAUAC
rnacentral:rRNA from 1 species